UACGGGGGGGGCAAGCGUUGUUCGGAAUUACUGGGCGUAAAGCGCGCGUAGGCGGUCUCUUAAGUCGGAUGUGAAAGCCCUUGGCUCAACCGAGGAAGUGCACCCGAAACUGAGAGGCUUGAGUACGAAAGAGGGUCGCGGAAUUCCCGGUGUAGAGGUGAAAUUCGUAGAUAUCGGGAGGAACACCGGUGGCGAAGGCGGCGACCUGGGUCGAUACUGACGCUGAGGCGCGAAAGCGUGGGGAGCGAACAGG
rnacentral:rRNA from 1 species